UAUUUAUUUGAGAGAGAGACAGAUAGUGAGAGAAAGUAAAAACAAACAAGGAAAGCUAGUUCUUGAACAAGCUAGUUCAGGGUAUAUUGUAUCUAGUAG